UACGAAGGGGGCUAGCGUUGCUCGGAAUUACUGGGCGUAAAGCGCGUGUAGGCGGCUUGGCAAGUCGGAUGUGAAAGCCCACGGCUCAACCGUGGAAGCGCAUCCGAAACUGCUUCGCUCGAGUCUCGGAGAGGAAGGUGGAAUGCUUGGUGUAGAGGUGAAAUUCGUAGAUAUCAAGCAGAACACCUGCGGCGAAGGCGGCCUUCUGGACGAUGACUGACGCUGAGACGCGAAAGCGUGGGGAGCAAACAGG
rnacentral:rRNA from 1 species